CCUUUGCAGAACAAGGAGGAUAUGGGCACGCACCAAAGGACCAUUUCCAAAGUGAACCCACUCACUAGGCAGACUGCACCCCAAUGCAGGCCAGAUGUUUCACUCUGCUAUGUUAAGUCAUCUUGACAUACUGCCAUGAAAUGGAAACAACUGCUAGUUUUAACAUUGCUCCAUAUCUUUAUUAAAAGAGUCAUCAAUCUCUUCAGAGUCAUCUUGCCAUCUGUACCAGCAUUGCUCCAGGCUUCCAUAUGAAAGUCCAAUCUGGCGGUAUAAAUACCGGAUAAUGAAGAGUGGGUGUUAAAGUUUCUGACUGGUUGGAAGAUGACACUGGCAGAGUCUUUACUCUGCACACCACUGCUGACCCCAGAAAUGACCCACAGGAACUACUGGCAAAAGGAGUGAAAAGGUAUUUCAGCUCAUAGGCAUUAGAAACUCUCUUCAUUAAUAGCCUUUUUGCAGACUUUUCAGAUAGAUUUCCUGUCAUUGUGAUGAGGAUGUAUUUGUAACGAGGUCCCUUAAGUAA